rnacentral:rRNA from 1 species
CGCGCCCGCCGCUCCCCAGAAACAAGCACGGCCGCAGCACAGUCAGCGUUCACUGUGCUGCUCAGCUGCCGCCCAGGCACUCUGCUCCCGAGGAACGCGCCAGGCGCCGGCGCCGCGAUGGAAGCCGCGGCGGCGGCCGUGGCGUGCCGAGGAGGCGUGGUGCUCGCGCGGGCACGCCCCGGUCACCGGUCCCGGCGCCACGGCGUAGGCGCGGGAGCCGGACCCGCCGCCCGACGGAGGUUCCUCGUCGUGGCGUCGCUCGGAGAAGCCCCCUCCGCGCCCUCGCGCAGCGCCGUGGCGGUCGCGCACGAGAUCGCGCAGGCCGCCGACGAGGACGUCGCCUCUGUCAGAGUUGUGCUGAUGAUGGCCGUCGGCCCAGCCUCGACCGCAAUCCCGCCGCCCCCCGACGAUCACGCGAACACGGUGCGCGUCACGUUCGUGCUGGAGAAGAAGUGCGCGUUCGGGCAGCGGUUCCUCGUCGUCGGCGACGACCCGGCGCUCGGCCUCUGGGACCCGGCCAAGGCGACCGCCCUGGACUGGUCGGCGGGCCACGUCUGGACGGCGAGGGCGGAUUUGCCAGCGAACAGGCUGGUCGAGUUCAAGUUCUUGCUGCAGGACCCCUCCGGCCACGUCCGCUGGCAGCACGGCGGCAACAGGGCUCUGCAGGUAACCGAGGCCUCCAACGCGUUGGUCGUGUACGAAGACUGGGACGACGCCGGGUGCCAGGAAGUGUCGGAGGCGGCAUUACAUCUGCCGAUCGGAGCGGAGGAGACCGACGCGCUGCUGCUGGCAGAUGAUGGCCGGACCGACGACGGCGAUCAGGAGACCUACGAGGGCUUCAUGCAUGCCGAGAAGGCACCUGCGGCUGCAGAAGCUUCCCUGCACGCGGAAACGACGUGGGUACAUGGAAUGAACCGGCCACAGUUUACCUUGCAGAAAGACGAGAAGAUUCCAGAGGAGCUUCGCAGGAGAGCAAACAUGGCGGCAGCACAAAACGGCGGCCUUGCUUCUGCCGGAAUAAACGGCGACGACAUCAUCUUGUACGAGGAAGCUGCGAACAGGCCGGCCAGUAUGUUCGAAAACGACAUGGUCUGGAUCGGGAAAGCCCUCCAGGGGUUGCUCCGGAACCUUGGUUUCCACAUCGGCACAACAAAAACAUGAAAAAUAAGCAUCCUGUGUACGUACGGUACAGAUCAUAUACUGUUUCUUUUUUUUUUGAGGGAUCAUAUAAUGUUUCUUACUGUAGUUGAGAACCAUUUUUCCUUUUCACGAUGCAUGCAACCCCGAAGGAAUGAGAUUGCCGGGAGCUGCAACGCAAACAGUCGCUGCACACUGUUGCCGGUAGGAACUCCUCCAGUGGAAGCUGUUAAUAUUGUUAUCAGUGGUUUCGACUUCUUAUCUACUACCUCCGUUCCAAAAUAGAUGACCCAACUUAUACUAAUUUGGGUCAUCUAUUUUGAAACGGAGGAAGUAGUUACCAAUGAUAAGACUGAGAUAAUUCAUUGUACAAUAUUUUUCAUUGCAAUAUAUAUUAGUGACGGAUGUAAGAUAAUACUUACUAUUUUAUCAACCAUUGGCCACGCCCUUAUACUCAUCACGCA